GACAGAGGGUGCAAACGUUGUUCGGAAUUACUGGGCGUAAAGCGUAUGCAGGCGGAUCGUUAAGUCGGGGGUGAAAUCCCGAGGCUCAACCUCGGAACUGCCUUCGAUACUGGCGAUCUUCGAGUCCGGGAGAGGUGAGUGGAACUCCGAGUGUAGAGGUGAAAUUCGUAGAUAUUCGGAAGAACACCAGUGGCGAAGGCGGCUCACUGGCCCGGUACUGACGCUGAGAUACGAAAGCGUGGGGAGCAAACAGG
rnacentral:rRNA from 1 species